UACGAAGGGGGCUAGCGUUGCUCGGAAUCACUGGGCUUAAAGGGCGCGUAGGCGGGCGAAUUUGUCCGGGGUGAAAGCCCACGGCUUAACCGUGGAAGUGCCUCGGAAACGGUUCGCCUCGAGGGGGGUAGGGGCCUGCGGAACUUCCGGUGGAGCGGUGAAAUGCGUAGAUAUCGGAAGGAACGCCGGUGGCGAAAGCGGCGGGCUGGACCCCUUCUGACGCUGAGGCGCGAAAGCCAGGGGAGCAAACGGG
rnacentral:rRNA from 1 species